rnacentral:rRNA from 1 species
CUGCCUUCGGGCAGACAGGGAAACAGGUGGUGCAUGUUGUCGUCAGCUCGUGUCGUGAGAUGUUGGGUUAAGUCCCGCAACGAGCGCAACCCUCGACCUUAGUUGCCAGCAUUCAGUUGGGCACUCUAAGGUGACUGCCGGCUAAAAGUCGGAGGAAGUGGGGAUGACGUCAAAUCAUCAUGCCCCUUAUGACCUGGGCUACACACGUGCUACAAUGGGCGGUACAAAGGGUCGCGAACCCGCGAGGGGGAGCCAAUCCCAAAAAGCCGCUCUCAGUUCGGAUUGCAGGCUGCAACUCGCCUGCAUGAAGCCGGAAUCGCUAGUAAUCGCGGAUCAGCAUGCCGCGGUCGAAUACGUUCCCGGGCCUU